AGAAAAAGCAUCUGCAGCAUCUACAACCUUCUGGUUGUAUCUCAGAAUGGAAUCAGCAGAAGAACGAAACAUCACCGCUGUGGAGCUACAGAAAGCAGUUAAAAAGGAAACAGAUGAAGAUGAAGGCUAUGGAGUACCAAACACCCCUGUGGGAACUUUCACCUCUGAGAGAGACGUCACGUCGUUGGAGCAACAGAGUGAAAGAUUCCAGUCAAAGCCUGUAAAAGAGGAAGAGCCUGAAAGUGAAGACGACACAAUUCCAGGAUGGAGAUCCAUCGUCUCC